rnacentral:rRNA from 1 species
AACGAACGCUGGCGGCAUGCCUAACACAUGCAAGUCGAACGAAGGCUUCGGCCUUAGUGGCGCACGGGUGCGUAACGCGUGGGAAUCUGCCCCUCGGUUCGGAAUAACAGUUAGAAAUGCCUGCUAAUACCGGCUGAUGACUUCGGUCCAAAGAUUUAUCGCCGAGGGAUGAGCCCGCGUAAGAUUAGGUAGUUGGUGGGGUAAAGGCCUACCAAGCCGACGAUCUUUAGCUGGUCUGAGAGUAUGAUCAGCCACACUGGGACUGAGACACGGCCCAGACUCCUACGGGAGGCAGCAGUGGGGCAACUUGGACAAUGGGCGAAAGCCUGAUCCAGCAAUGCCGCGUGAGUGAUCAAGGCCUUAGGGUUGUAAAGCAAGGGUACCAGGGAUGAUAAUGACAGUACCUGGAGAAUAAGCUCCGGCUAACUCCGUGCCAGCCGCCGCAGUAA